rnacentral:misc_RNA from 1 species
UCUUAAUUUAUAUUUAUGAAUUUAAAAUUUGGAUAUGGUAUUAUAAUAUUUCUUCACUGUUGCAUCCUUUUGAUCUUGUUUGACAAAGAAUUUAUCUUCCUGUUCAUAGUUUAAGAUAGGUGUUUGAUCGGAUUGUUUGAUAGCAUUUUCUAUGUGAUCUUUUUGAAACAUGAUCAUUUGAUUUUGCUGCUUUUGGUUUCAGCUAUUUUGGAACUAUAAUCAUUUGGUUGCAAUUCUUCUUAUCUGAUUUCUGAUAUUCUUUUCUAUGGUGCAUAAUUUUGGUCUUUGUGAUUAGAAGUUCCUUAAGUUUUUAUGUUCCUUCAACCCCAUUUGUUGUUGGGUGUUGAUAAAAUAACCUUGUUGCGAG